GCGAGAUCCGUACAUAUAUCCAACGCGUUGAAGCCUGAGUGCGCCUCGGCAACAACGUCCCUAGUCGCUCGCAUCCAAGAGAAAGAAAUGAAUUUCCAAAACUUUGCUCAGUUGGCAAAGAAGGGAGAAUGUAGCGAAAUUCUCUAUAAAGAACAUAAAGAAUGCAUCGCCGAUGGCAAGGAAAAAAAAAAAGUUUUGUAUGGAGCAAGUACACUCCGCAAGAGAAAAACCAAAAUGAACAAGCAUAAACGACGUAAAAGGCUGAAACUUCAACGGUUCCUGAGGAGGAAGCUAGGGAGGAAUUGACGCAAAUAAAACAUAGAACUUUCGGGUGCGACCGAGCAAUAGUA